rnacentral:rRNA from 1 species
UAUUGGACAAUGGGCGAAAGCCUGAUCCAGCGACGCCGCGUGUGUGAAGAAGGCCUGCGGGUUGUAAAGCACUUUUAGUGGGGAUGAAAAGCCUGGGGCUAAUACCUCCGGGUCUUGACCUAACCCACAGAAAAAGCACCGGCUAACUCUGUGCCAGCAGCCGCGGUAAUACAGAGGGUGCGAGCGUUAAUCGGAAUUACUGGGCGUAAAGCGUGCGUAGACGGUUAUGUAAGUCGGAUGUGAAAGCCCCGGGCUCAACCUGGGAAUUGCAUUCGAGACUGCAUGGCUAGGGUGCGGAAGAGGGAAGCGGAAUUUCCGGUGUAGCGGUGAAAUGCGUAGAUAUCGGAAGGAACACCAGUGGCGAAAGCGGCUUCCUGGUCCAGCACCGACGUUCAGGCACGAAAGCGUGGGGAGCAAACAGG